rnacentral:rRNA from 1 species
UAGGGAAUCUUCCGCAAUGGGCGAAAGCCUGACGGAGCAACGCCGCGGGAGUGAUGAAGGUCUUCGGAUCGUAAAACUCUGUUAUUAGGGAAGAACAAAUGUGUAAGUAACUAUGCACGUCUUGACGGUACCUAAUCAGAAAGCCACGGCUAACUACGUGCCAGCAGCCGCGGUAAUACGUAGGUGGCAAGCGUUAUCCGGAAGUAUUGGGCGUAAAGCGCGCGUAGGCGGUUUUUUAAGUCUGAUGUGAAAGCCCACGGCUCAACCGUGGAGGGUCAUUGGAAACUGGAAAACUUGAGUGCAGAAGAGGAAAGUGGAAUUCCAUGUGUAGCGGUGAAAUGCGCAGAGAUAUGGAGGAACACCAGUGGCGAAGGCGACUUUCUGGUCUGUAACUGACGCUGAUGUGCGAAAGCGUGGAGAUCAAACAGG